CUCAAGUGGCUCAAGUUCUCUAGUGGAACGAGGUUGACCGUGCGCAGUGGCAGCCGUUGACAACAAAAACAAUGUAUGCACUCAGCUUCGCCGGAUGAGUGCCGGCGUCGAUCGCGAACCGCCAGAGCCGCCAAAUACCUCUCGUACAUCUCCAAGAACACCAAGAACAGGAGGUAUUCAUAAAGGUCUGAACCACGCGAGGAUCGUCUCGAAGCAUGGUAGCCUCAACAGACGCUUGCCGCCACACGCGAGGAGAAAGCAGGAGGCCCGAAGUUUGAAUGUGAAGAGGAGGUGCGAAGAGCUGGCCCUCACUUUUUCAAGGCAGCCGCAGAACACUACGAGCCCCGAAUCACUGCCGCGGCUGACUCGCGCGGAUGCUGUGCUGCACCCUGCACUGCACAUGGUUCGAAGCACACUUCAGGGGACCAGUGCAUGCCCCUGAUGCAUCGUCGCGGUCCCGGGGAUCAUGGCAUCGAUGAGCUCGCUUUCACCUUGUCCAAGGUAGCAGCGGAACACUACGGGCAGGCCCGGAGUCACCGCACCGGCUGGCUCACGGGCGUCGUCCUGUACUCUGCACGGCACUGCGUGUGGCUUAACCGGCCAAGCAGAGGGUCACUGCAUGACCUUUAUGAGGCGUCGCUAGCCAUUGUAAGUAUAUUUUGGACGCUCGUGUCAGGGGAUGUACUUUUGUGUUCUACAACAGAACAUGUUUGGUGGCGGUUCAGUCUUGCCAAUUCAGCUAUUUCGAAACAUAAUUUUGUGGCGACUCGGCUUAGGUUUUCUGGCUCGGCCGUCUUUUGCACCAGUGUCUAGGCUCGGCGUAAGCCUCUUUGUUCUUUAUUGUCAAGGCUAGUGUAAUUUCUGCUACGCCGUCGAAGCAACUUCUGCAUGCGAACAAGAUGCAAGACGAAGCUACAUGCUCGUGCACAGUGCAUGACCACAUGUGAAAACUAAUAGCGAGUUUGUUUCGCUGCACUCGUGCCCAUGCGCACCCACUCGCAACAUGAAGUGAGUUUGUUUCGCCGCCGGCACUCCACACGUGCAUGCGCUCGCUGCACCCUGAGAAUUAAG
rnacentral:misc_RNA from 1 species